UACGGGGGGGGCAAGCGUUGUUCGGAUUUACUGGGCGUAAAGGGCGCGUAGGCGGCGCGACAAGUCACUUGUGAAAUCUCCGGGCUUAACUCGGAACGGUCAAGUGAAACUGUCAUGCUAGAGUGCAGAAGGGGCAAUCGGAAUUCUUGGUGUAGCGGUGAAAUGCGUAGAUAUCAAGAGGAACACCUGAGGUGAAGACGGGUUGCUGGGCUGACACUGACGCUGAGGCGCGAAAGCCAGGGGAGCAAACGGG
rnacentral:rRNA from 1 species